rnacentral:tRNA from 1 species
GGUGCUGUAGCUCAGUGGUGGAGCACUUUCCUUGCACAUAUGAGGCACUGGGUUUGAUCCUCAGCACCACGU